rnacentral:rRNA from 1 species
AAAUUGAAGAGUUUGAUCAUGGCUCAGAUUGAACGCUGGCGGCAGGCCUAACACAUGCAAGUCGAGCGGUAACACAGGGAGCUUGCUCCUGGGUGACGAGCGGCGGACGGGUGAGUAAUGUCUGGGAAACUGCCUGAUGGAGGGGGAUAACUACUGGAAACGGUAGC